UACAGAGGUGGCAAACGUUGUUCGGAUUUACUGGGCGUAAAGGGUCCGCAGGCGGUUCGAUGUGUCGGAUGUGAAAGCUCACAGCUCAACUGUGGAAAUGCAUUCGAAACUGUCGAACUAGAGUACUGGAGGGGAGAAGGGAAUUCAUGGUGUAGCGGUGAAAUGCGUAGAUAUCAUGAAGAACACCGGUGGCGAAGGCGCUUCUCUGGACAGAUACUGACGCUCAUGGACGAAAGUUAGGGUAGCGAAAGGG
rnacentral:rRNA from 1 species